GAUGAACGCUGGCGGCGUGCCUAAUACAUGCAAGUCGAGCGAACAGACGAGGAGCUUGCUCCUCUGACGUUAGCGGCGGACGGGUGAGUAACACGUGGAUAAUCUACCUAUAAGACUGGGAUAACUUCGGGAAACCGGAGCUAAUGCCGGAUAAUAUAUUGAACCGCAUGGUUCAAUAGUGAAAGACGGUUUUGCUGUCACUUAUAGAUGGAUCCGCGCCGCAUUAGCUAGUUGGUAAGGUAACGGCUUACCAAGGCAACGAUGCGUAGCCGACCUGAGAGGGUGAUCGGCCACACUGGAACUGAGACACGGUCCAGACUCCUACGGGAGGCAGCAGUAGGGAAUCUUCCGCAAUGGGCGAAAGCUUGACGGAGCAACGCCGCGUGAGUGAUGAAGGUCUUCGGAUCGUAAAACUCUGUUAUUAGGGAAGAACAAAUGUGUAAGUAACUAUGCACGUCUUGACGGUACCUAAUCAGAAAGCCACGGCUAACUACGUG
rnacentral:rRNA from 1 species